AGUUUUGCACAGUGGCAGUAUCAUAGCCAAUGAGGUUUAUCCGAGGUGUGAUUCUUGCUAAUUGAAAACUUUUCUCAAUACCCUACCAUGACGACUUGAAAUAUAGUCGGCAUUGGCAAUUAAAAAAAAAAGUUACUGUUAGCUU
ensembl:snRNA U4 U4 spliceosomal RNA